UCCAGAGGGUGCAAGCGUUAAUCGGAUUUACUGGGCGUAAAGGGUGUGUAGGUGGUUUGACAAGUCGGUUGUGAAAUCCCUGGGCUCAACCUGGGAACUGCUUCCGAGACUGUCAGACUAGAGUACGGUAGAGGGCGGUGGAAUUUCCGGUGUAGCGGUGAAAUGCGUAGAUAUCGGAAGGAACACCAAUGGCGAAGGCAGCCGCCUGGGCCUGUACUGACACUGAAACACGAAAGCGUGGGGAUCAAACAGG
rnacentral:rRNA from 1 species